CAUGUAGGCUGUCAUGUAAGCUUGGUGUGAAAUCCCGUGGCUCAACCACGGAACUGCAUUGAGAACUGCGUGACUAGAGUUGAUGAGGGGGGAACCAGAAUUCCAGGUGUAGGGGUGAAAUCUGUAGAUAUCUGGAAGAAUACCAAUGGCGAAGGCAGGUUUCUAGCAUACAACUGACGCUGAGGUGCGAAGGUGCGGGGAGCAAACA
rnacentral:rRNA from 1 species